GAUGAACGCUGGCGGCGUGCUUAACACAUGCAAGUCGAACGAUGAAGCUCAGCUUGCUGGGUGGGUUAGUGGCGAACGGGUGAGUAACACGUGAGUAACCUGCCCUUAACUCUGGGAUAAGCCUGGGAAACUAGGUCUAAUACCGGAUAGGAGCGCCUACCGCAUGGUGGGUGUUGGAAAGAUUUAUCGGUUUUGGAUGGACUCGCGGCCUAUCAGCUUGUUGGUGAGGUAAUGGCUCACCAAGGCGACGACGGGUAGCCGGCCUGAGAGGGUGACCGGCCACACUGGGACUGAGACACGGCCCAGACUCCUACGGGAGGCAGCAGUGGGGAAUAUUGCACAAUGGGCGAAAGCCUGAUGCAGCGACGCCGCGUGAGGGAUGACGGCCUUCGGGUUGUAAACCUCUUUCAGUAGGGAAGAAGCGAAAGUGACGGUACCUGCAGAAGAAGCACCGGCUAACUACGUG
rnacentral:rRNA from 1 species